rnacentral:rRNA from 1 species
UACGUAGGGUGCGAGCGUUAAUCGGAAUUACUGGGCGUAAAGGCGUGCGCAGGCGGUUUUGUAAGCCUAGAUGUGAAAUCCCCGGGACCUUUAACCUGGGAAUGGCAUUUGGGACUGCAAGGCUUGAGUGCGGCAGAGGAGACUGGAAUUCCUGGUGUAGCAGUGAAAUGCGUAGAUAUCAGGAGGAACACCGAUGGCGAAGGCAGGUCUCUGGGCUGACACUGACGCUCAUGCACGAAAGCGUGGGGAGCAAACAGG